ACUUGUCCACUCUUCUCCGCCUCACGCACACACACACGCACACAUGUUUCUAAGCCCCCCUCCCCAUUUCGCUCAUAUCCACUCUCGCACUUUUUCACCCUCGCACCUUGCCUCUCCUUUCCACAAGCAACCAGCCGAGCAUGUCUGCCACUACCAAGGUACUAUGGUCGAAGCUGCCCGCGCAUGGCCGCAUGUGCAGAGGCUACGAGAAGAAGCUGCUGGAGACGGUGCUCAUCCUCGGGGCGGACGAGCCGAACGUCGUGUAGCGCGCCGUUCAUGCCGAUGGGGCCGGAGAACACGCUUGAGAAAUGCCGCAAGUUCCGCGUGAUCCUGCUGGCGACGGAGGACCUGAGCAAGAACGUUGGCGGCAUGAUUCUGAGCAAGGAGUCCGCGGAGAAGAACUGCCUUAGCGGGACGAUGUUUACAGAAAUGCUACCAAACAACAGGAUCGUGUCCGGCAUGAACGUCGACGGCAAGCUGCACUCGUUCUACGAGGGUGCGCCAGGCGAGGAGAUCACUGCCAGCAUGGGGCGGCUACGUGGAGGGCGUGCAGCACUACUACAAGCUUGGCUGCCUCUUGUGUAAGUGACGCAACGUGUUCAAGAUUCAAAAUGGGAGCGUGUCUGAGUUGCUGAUCCAGUUCAACGCAUACACGCAGGUGCGGUAUGCUGCGCUAUCGCCACUGAACGGGCUUGUGCCGAUUGUGGAGCCGGAGGUGAUGGAGGUCACGCACGGCGUGGUCCUGAAGGGCAUGCUCCUGAAGCCGAGCACGGUUGUUGCGGGCCUCCAGUCGGGGAGCAAGUGCGCAACCUCCUCCGGUGCCUGCGAUAGGAUCCCCGUCUUGCGGCCUGAGCGAGCUGCAGUCUUCGGGGUACCUGAGAGCGAUCAACAGCACGCCUGUGCCGCGACCAUGGGACCUGGCGUUCGCGUUUGGGUGCGCUCUCCUGCGGGGGAGCGCAGUGAGGACAUGGAAGGGCAAGAACGAGCUGAUCCCCGAGACGCGCAGGGCGUCCCUGCAUGGUGCGAAGGUGAGCUCGCUUGCUGCGUCCGGCACGUACGAUGCGGAGCUAGAGACAUCGGUGUAAGUGCGGCGCGCACGUGAAGUGUCGGCCUGUGCAUGCUGUUGGGACUCGCGAAUUUCGUCUGGCACUUCCGGGUUUUCAGCUCUUCCAUGCCGACGUAUGCUAAGGUGUAGUGCACGGAUGCAUAGGUCGGGCUCGAGAUCUUUGCGAAGCUUCAUGAAAGGGACUGAUGCUCAUUCCGUCCCGAGGCGGCGACGUCGCCUGAUCGAACGCCUUUCCCCAUGCACGUCUUCCCUUGCAUUGUCUAGUUGAUAGCGAUGCGUGUUUGCCGCCGUCAUCGCAUCUGUUUUCUGCUUGUCAGGCUCGCUGUAGUCUUAUCCGAUUCGUCCGUGUGCUUGCCUUUCACUCGGGUCCAAAGACACCUCUCUUGCUCGGCAAAGGCUGGGAGGAGGGCGCGUGAUGUCGGUAUCACGCUGACCCCCGGCAAUAACAUCGCUGGAGGGUGCCGCACACGAUUUCACAUACUUCCAACGAAGCGUUGAUUUAGUAUGGCACACGUGCGUAUGCAGAGAAUGUUUGUCCCGCUCUUGGUAUUUGUGUUGCUUCUCCACACACAUUUUCGUGUCCCGGAUGACGGGAGACACGCACACAUGCCUCUCAGUGCGUGCUGUCUCAGGCUCCAGUACAACCCCACUCUCUCUGCCUGGGGAGAAGCCAAAGCAGCCCCCCUCCCCUCCCCUCCUAUGCCUGCCGAAUGCCGAACUCGCCUCUGGUGUGUGACAGGGUCAGGUGUCUGUGACGUAGGCGGAGGUCCGCGCGAUGCAUCGCUGCUGAUGUCGGCGGUGAGGGCCUGGAUGGCGUUGCGUCGGGGCGACCUGCGACCGUGCACACGCCUGCACACCGUCUAUGUGAUGGGCGAAGUGCCAGCGUGGCUCGAACGCACCCCGCACGGCCCUCACACUGACCACUGGUGGGGGGCAGCCUGAGCGCCACGCCGAGGGGGAUGCACCAGGGGUGGCGACCGGCACAAUGGGGGAGCGGCUGCGAGGCGACCUGCUCAGCGGGCAUGUGGGCUGGGCUCGAGGCAGAGGCGGUGCUGAGACGACUGGGUCGGCGCAUUGCUGCCAUGCGCGCGUGCCUAGGGCUUCUUCACGUCCACUCUGCCUGCUCUGCCACAGGCCCAUUUUGUGGUACGAACUCGUGUUGUAGGGAAGAAUACGGAGACGUUGACGAGAAGACCCCCACGCCUACGUAUGUUGUUUGCUGAUGGUCUGGAGUCUCUCGCCUUCGCUGUAUAUGCGUGCGCGCUUACGUACUCCUUAUCACCAUUUCUGGCCCGGCAAACCAGGAACACGGAGGGGGAGAACGAGGGCGAUGUGCACGCUAUGGACAUGGUCGCCCUCAUCAGCCGGAGCCGCCGCCGCCAUUGCAGACACACCCACAUGCAUGUACACCCUCACCCCGCGUACGUGUGUCUCGGCGACUCGCAACCAUCGUGCUUGCGUGUGCAAUUUGUGCACCCUUGUUCACAGAACGUAGAUCUUGCGUGCACGGGCUUGUUUCAAGGACAAGUGAAAGCUGUGCUUUUCAUAACGCAGGAAUGUCUCCCGUCUGAACGCUCGCACUCGCUCCUUCGGCACUGGAUGACGGGGAGAGGCGGAUUGUAGCGGUGGUAAUGACGAGCACAUGUGUUACGACAGCUCUGUGCGCGGUGCUUGAUCCUUGAGUUUCAGUUGAGGUUGUGCGGGGUAGCGAAGGGGUGGGGGAUGCAUCUCCUUGAUCUCGGAGCUACUCGACGUAGUCUCUACGUCCUCCCGUCCAUCUCCCACCGACUACCCAGCCUGCCUGCACUCCCUUCUUGUACAUGGCAUUGCUAGGGCACCGCCACCCCCUUCUACGCGCCAGAUGCCACAGUCCUAUCCUUCACGCCCUCUGUUCAUCGCUUUCCUACUCUAUCGCCUCUACUCGUUUCCCUCCGCCACUGCCACGACACACAUUGAUGACCCUUCUCUCCCCUCUCUUCCUCCCGCUGCAG
rnacentral:misc_RNA from 1 species